rnacentral:rRNA from 1 species
AAUCAAGUGCCUUAAGGGUGUUCGGUGGAUGCCUUGGCGCUGAGAGGCGAUGAAGGACGUGCUACGCUGCGAUAAGCCGUGGGGAGCUGCGAAGAAGCUUUGAUCCAUGGAUUUCCGAAUGGGGAAACCCACCUUCGAUAGCCGGAACUCCAAGACCUCAGUCGAAAGACUGUGGUGUGGGGUUCGAACAGAAAUGUGAGAUUCCURRRCCUUUAGAUUUCGAUCGAAGAGGUUUUGGAUUUCCGGUUAUCAAGAGAAGGUAUGAGACUUCUGAAUACAUAGGAGGUUUCAAGCAAACCCAGGGAACUGAAACAUCUAAGUACCUGGAGGAAAGGACAUCAACAGAGACUCCGUUAGUAGUGGCGAGCGAACGCGGACCAGGCC